GUUCGAUUAUGGCUCCAUGAUUGAACGCUGGCGGAUGCUUUACACAUGCAAGUCGGGCGGCAGCACAGACUUCCGGUCUGGUGGCGAGUGGCGAGCAGGUGAGUAAUGUAUCGGAACGUGCCUAAUGUGAGGAUAACUACGCGAAAGCGUAGCUAAUACAUACGCCCUUCGAGGAAAGCGGGGACCUUCGGGCCUCGCACUGGCCAGAGCAGCCGAUAUCGGAUUAGCUGAGUUGGUGGGGUAACGGCUCACCAAGGCGACGAUCAUCAGCUGGUUUGAGGACGACUAACCACCACUGGGACUGGGGCUGGCCCCAAGACUCUACGGAGGCAGCAGUGGGAAUUUUGGACAAUGAAACUGGUCAGCCAUCCCGCGUGUGUGCGAUGAAGGCCUUCGGGUUGUAAAGCACUUUUGGCAGGAAAGAAACGGCACGGGAUAAUACCCCGUGCAACUGACCGACCGCCUGCAGAAUAAGCACCGGCUAACUACGUGCCAGCAGCCGCGGUAAUACGUAGAGGUGCAAGCGUUAAUCAGGUACUGGAGGCGUAAAGCGUGCGCAGGCGGUUCGGAAGAAAGAUGUGAGAAAUCCCAGAGCUUAACUUUGGACUGCGUACGCUACCGAGCUGAGAGUGUGUCAGAGGAGUGAAUUCGCAUUAGCAAGCAGUGAAAUGCGUAGAUAUGCGGAGGAACACCGAUGGCGAAGGCAGCCUCCUGGGAUAACACUGACGCUCCUUGCACGAAAGCGUGGGGAGUAAACAGGAUUAGAUGCCCUGGUAGUCCACGCCCUAAACGUGUCAACUAGCUGUUGGGGCCUUCGGGCCUUGGUAGCGCAGCUAACGCGUGAAGUUGACCGCCUGGGGAGGCACGGUCCCGCAGAUUAAAACUCAAAGGAAUUGACGGGGACCCGCACAAGCGAGGGCCCGGAUGAUGUGGAUUAAUUCGAUGCAACGCGAAAAACCUUACCUACCCUUGACAUGUCUGGAAUCCCGAAGAGAUUUGGGAGUGCUCGCAAGAGAACCGGAACACAGGUGCUGCAUGGCUGUCGUCCAGCUCGUGUGAGAUGUUGGGUUAAGUCCCGCAGCAGGCGCAGCCCUUGUCGUGGAUUGCUACGAAAGGGCACUCUAAUGAGACUGCCCAGGUGACAAUCGGGGAAGGUGGGGAUGACGUCAAGUCUCAUGGCCCUUAUGGGCAGGGCUUCACACGUCAUACAAUGGUCGGAACAGAGGGUCGCCAACCCGCGAGGAGCCAAUCAGGAAACCCGAUCGUAGUCCGGAUCGCAGUCUGCAACUCGACUGCAGCAAGUCCAGAUCGCUAUUAAUGCGGAUCAGCAUGUCGCGGUGAAUACGUUCCCGGGUCUUGCCACCGCCCGUCACACCAUGGGGUGGGUUUUAAGAAGUAGUUAGCCUAACCGUAAGGAGGCAGGAGUGCCACGGUAAGUUCAUGA
rnacentral:rRNA from 1 species